GUGUGUGUGUGUGUGUGUGUGUGUGUGUGAGAUUCGUUCUGGAUUUUCAAAAUUUUGAGCAAUCAAUUGUUUUCCAUUCCCCAGGCUUUUUCUCCUCCGUGACAGCCAGAGUAAUCCAAAGGCAUUUGUACUCACACUGUGUCAUCACCAGAAAAUUAAAAAUUUCCAGAUUUUACCAUGUGAGGACGAUGGGCAGACGUUCUUCAGCCUGGAUGACGGGAACACCAAAUUCUCCGACCUGAUCCAGCUGGUCGACUUCUACCAGCUGAACAAAGGAGUCCUGCCUUGCAAACUCAAGCACCACUGUAUCCGAGUGGCCUUAUGACCUCAGAUGUGCUCUCAGCUGAAGCCUGGAGGAAGCUAACACUGGAAUGAAGAAGAGGUCUGUACAUUGGUGAAGAGUAAACGUCUGUCUGCACCCGGGGACUCGGAGGGAGACGGUUUGUUUGGUGCCGAUCGACCAAGGUUGACUUGUGUUUGGACUUAAUAACAAUUUGUUGCUGAGGAAACAGCAGGACCGCCUCCCUCCGUGUCUGCCAAAUUGGGGAGGGCACAGAAGAUCCAGCGCAAAUUUGAGAAUAAACUGGAAUGAUCAUCUUGGCUGGGCCACUUCGGAACAAGAACCAGACAGAAGUGAUUGGAAGUGAACUCUUGCCCUGGAAUAAUCUUGACAAUUAAAACUGAUAUGUUUACUUUUUUGUAUUGAUCACUUUUUUGCACUCCUUCUUUGUUUUCAAUAUUGUACUCAGCCUAUGAGAGGAGGGAAAUGUGGCUUUUCAACUCAUGUAAGACAAAGAGUUUCAUGUGGGCAGACUUCAGACCGAAUGCGAGUCCCCAAGUGUUUCCAGAGGGUGAUCACACUCUCUGCCGUGACCACAGUGAGGACUCAGCUCCCAUGUUACAAAUCACCCGGCCCUUCCCAGUAUACUUGAAAAGCUUUUUGUUAAAAUAAAAGGUGUCAGCUGUGGCAGGCAUUUGGCAUGUUUUGUGGACUCAGCCAAGCAACCACAGUCUGUUCCUCGUUUCUCUA